UGGGGAAUAUUGCACAAUGGGCGCAAGCCUGAUGCAGCCAUGCCGCGUGUGUGAAGAAGGCCUUCGGGUUGUAAAGCACUUUCAGCGAGGAGGAAGGUGAUGAACUUAAUACGUUCAUCAAUUGACGUUACUCGCAGAAGAAGCACCGGCUAACUCCGUGCCAGCAGCCGCGGUAAUACGGAGGGUGCAAGCGUUAAUCGGAAUUACUGGGCGUAAAGCGCACGCAGGCGGUUUGUUAAGUCAGAUGUGAAAUCCCCGGGCUCAACCUGGGAACUGCAUUUGAAACUGGCAAGCUAGAGUCUCGUAGAGGGGGGUAGAAUUCCAGGUGUAGCGGUGAAAUGCGGUAGAGAUCUGGAGGAAUACCGGUGGCGAAGGCGGCCCCCCUGGACGAAGACUGACGCUCAGGCUGCGAAAA
rnacentral:rRNA from 1 species